AUCCCCACUCAGCCACAAAGCUCACCGUAUGAUUUUGGACUAGUCAUUCUUUUUCAGCCUAACCUACUUCACAAGAGGAUACAAUGGAGGGUAGAGAAGCAUGUACAUUUCCUGGGCUCUUCGGAGAAAAGCAUCACAUAAGACCAGCUUUCCUGGUUGUGAAGAAAGAACAUUGACCACAGACAGUUCCACAGAUGAGGUAUCGCAAGGAAGCAAAUUCUGGCUGCCGGUAUCUGUGUGAAAUGAAGAAUACCAGUUAUUACUUAUCCAGAUACACCCAAAAAAUCUACACAAUGUUUCAUGUUGAGAACAUAUGAUUUAUGCAUUUAUCCCUCUAAGUCUGCUCUUAAAAAUGUAUUAGGCUAAAGGGAGGUGGGUGAAUUCCAAGUGACAUAAUACUUGGGCAUCCAAAACUUAAUUGGUUAUCUUAGCUGAAAGACCCAACCAUGGUUUCCACAGUAUGUACGUUACUUUGGUUAAUUCAGCAUGUCAGUGCAAAACACUACUGGCACAUAAAUGUCGAUAGCUUUUUUAUUAUUGUUUGAUUUAUAUCCUCCCCUUCCCCCCAACAGGAGCCCAGGGUGGCAAACAAAAGCACUAAAAACAUUAAAACAUUAUAAAAACAAACUUUAAAAAACAUUAAAACAAAACAUCUUCAAAAACGUUACUUAAAAAAAGCUAUGAAAACAUCUUCCAAGAUUAAAAACAUUUAAAAAAAGAAAGUAAGAACAUUAAAAAGCAAUUCAGUGGCUUGAGCAGUUUGUUAAGGAAAAGUCACCUGAUUUCAUUCUGUUGUCUCCACUAUCUUUGGCUGACAAGAUUUAUAGAGCAAGUGUAUAUGUAUAAAAUUGCAGCCUCAGGUUGAACACACUGAGACUCAUUUCAGAGGGAAUAGAUAUAGGAUUGUACAGUCAGUCAGCUUCAUAUCUGCUAGGUUAGCAGUCUUCAAAUUGUGCCAUUUUACUGGUGUUUUCUUCUGUCUUUGGCUCAUUUACCUCCAAUAAGGUUCUCAGUGCCAAUUCUGCUCAGCAGAGGCUGCCAACAUGAUGCCCAGAGGCUUUCCUACCCCUGCUGAAAUUAGGCUUGAAAAAAAGCAUUUUAUUUUUAACAAAAUGUUUAUUGCUUUCAAAAUUAGUUUACAAUGUGAGGGAAAAGA